GAUGAACGCUAGCGGCAGGCCUAAUACAUGCAAGUCGAACGGUGUCUUCGGACAUAGUGGCGCACGGGUGCGUAACAUGUAUGCAACCUACCUUACAUUGGGGGAUAGCCUUUCGAAAGGGAGAUUAAUACCGCAUAAGACAGUAGCUGGGCAUCCAGCAGCUGUUAAAGAUUUAUCGAUGUAAGCUGGGCAUGCGUCCAAUUAGCUAGUUGGUGAGGUAACGGCUCACCAAGGCAAUGAUUGGUAGGUGAACUGAGAGGUCAAUCCCCCACACUGGCACUGAGAUACGGGCCAGACUCCUACGGGAGGCAGCAGUAGGGAAUAUUGGGCAAUGGACGCAAGUCUGACCCAGCCAUGCCGCGUGCAGGAUGAAGGCGUUAUGCGUUGUAAACUGCUUUUAUACAGGAAGAAACGACUCUUGCGAGAGGCAUUGACGGUACUGUAUGAAUAAGCACCGGCUAACUCCGUGCCAGCAGCCGCGGUAAGAC
rnacentral:rRNA from 1 species